AAAUGGGCUUUUAAAUUUGGGUAAUUUACGAUUUAGUCCCUGGAUAUUGCCAUUAUUAACAAGUCAGUUCCUGUAUUUUCAGAAACCUAUUAAAACGUCCUUAUAUAAUCAAAACGUUAACAAAUCAGUCCUUCCAUCCACUAUUACCCUCUUUUCCGUUAAAAAUAAGAUGAAAAGACCAAAAUAACCUUAGUGUAACUUUUCCCCAAAUCGAUAAUUUCUCUUCUCAAAUCCCUAUCCUCUCUCUCUCUUCUCCCGAAAAUGAAAACCUCUGUUCCGAAAUCCCUAAUUUCUCUUUUCUUCCCAAAUCGAUAACCUCUCUCUUCCUAAAUCCCUAACUUUCUGUCUUCUCCCAAGUCGAUAACUUCUCUUCUCAAAUCUCUAACUUCCAUCUUCUUCCCUAAAUCCUCUCUUCUCGAUUUUGUUGGUUUUUAUCGAAGAGAAGUUGGGUUCUGUCGAAGAGAAGUUGUGGUCUCGAUUUUGUUGGUUUUUAUCGAAGAUAAGUUGGGUUCUGUCGAAGAGAAGUUGUGGUCCCGAUUUUGUUGGUUUUUAUCGAAGAGAAGUUGGGUUCUGUUGAAGAGAAGUUGUGGUCCCGAUUUUGUUGGUUUCUGUCAAACAACUGGGGAAAGGUCUGAAAACAUGGCUGUGGAAGAGAGAUUUACUGUGGUGUUGACAUAUGAAAACAAAACCGAUUCUUUAUAUAAUGUCCCUAUUGCAAGUGCUAUUCAAGAGUUUAUGCAGGUGCCAUACAUCCUGUUCCUCAAACUGAGCUUAAACCUGAUAAUGAACACCCAUCAAUGUUGCCACCUCCUUUGAGGAGGCAACCAGGAAGGCCAAGGAAGGCUAGAAAGAGAGAUGAGAGUGAACCACCAGCAAGAGGAAGGAGGACAACAACUGUCACUUGUGCUAGGUGCUUACAAACAUGCCACAAUAAGAGAAGUUGUCAAUAUGCUGCUGUUGGGGCAAAUAUGGCUGCAAGUCAAAAGAAGAGAAAACACACUACUGCAUCAAGUGCGGGGACUUCAAGAGGGGUUAAUACUAAUCAAGUGGGAUCAAGUGGUGGACCAACUAUCUAAAGGAGCCUUUGGAAUAUCCAAUGAUCUUUUUGAGAAUGUUGUUAGUUGAUGGGAUAUAAUUUGUACAUUUUGGAAAAACAUGUAUUUUGGGGCAUUGGAUUGAGCUUUUUGUCUAUUUGUAAAUAUUGUAAAUCUGUGCACAGAUUCUUUUUUGAGAGUUUAUCAUAGAUAUUGGUACAGUGCUACAAAUAUUGGCCUUACUUGAUCAUUAAAAUGGCAGUAAUAGAUGUAUGACAUUGUAAUGAUCAAGUCUGAUUUUGUAAAGUCUCAUUUUGUAAUACAUAUUUGAACAAAAAGGACAUAUUAAUGAAGUUAUGCCUUUAAUUUCAUUUGCUCA